UACGUAGGGUGCAAGCGUUGUCCGGAAUUAUUGGGCGUAAAGGGCUCGUAGGCGGUGUGUCACGUCGGCCGUGAAAACCUGCAGCUUAACUGUGGGCGUGCGGUCGAUACGGGCAUCACUGGAGUUCGGCAGGGGAGACUGGAAUUCCUGGUGUAGCGGUGAAAUGCGCAGAUAUCAGGAGGAACACCGGUGGCGAAGGCGGGUCUCUGGGCCGAUACUGACGCUGAGGAGCGAAAGCGUGGGGAGCAAACAGG
rnacentral:rRNA from 1 species